rnacentral:misc_RNA from 1 species
UAGUGAUUGCAUCAGCUGCUCUCCUAAUAACACUAUUGACUGCUUGAGAAUUACCACUACUCUUGCGUCUCUUCAACAAGCCUACAAGAUGGACUAGAGCUCCAGCAUCUACUAUAAGUUGUUGAUGCUCAGGUUUCACAGCGAGAAGUCCAAGCGCGAAAGCACUUCGUUUCUCCACCUCAUGCUCGUAUGUUUUUGGACUACUUUCACCUCUCAAAGGCG